rnacentral:rRNA from 1 species
UACGUAGGGCGCAAGCGUUGUCCGGAAUUAUUGGGCGUAAAGAGCUCGUAGGCGGCUUGUCACGUCGGAUGUGAAAGCCCCGGGGCUUAACCCCGGGUCUGCAUUCGAUACGGGCUAGCUAGAGUGUGGUAGGGGAGAUCGAAUUCCUGGUGUAGCGGUGAAAUGCGCAGAUAUCAGGAGGAACACCGGUGGCGAAGGCGGAUCUCUGGGCCAUUACUGACGCUGAGGCGCGAAAGCGUGGGGAGCAAACAGG